rnacentral:tRNA from 2 species
GCGGACGUGGCGGAACCGGUAGACGCAGCGGACUUAAAAUCCGCUGGGGGAAACCUCGUGCGGGUUCGAGUCCCGCCGUCCGCACCA